GACAGAGGUGCCGAGCGUUAGGCGGAAUCACUGGGCUUAAAGCGUGUGUAGGCGGAUCGUUAAGUACCUUGUGAAAUCCCACGGCUUAACCGUGGAACUGCUUGGUAUACUGGCGAUCUUGAGCCACGUAGGGGCUACCGGAACAAAUGGUGGAGCGGUGAAAUGCGUAGAUAUCAUUUGGAACGCCAAUGGUGAAAACAGGUAGCUGGGAGUGUGCUGACGCUGAGACACGAAAGCCAGGGGAGCAAACGGG
rnacentral:rRNA from 1 species